UGGAGUUCAUUGUUGUGUCCGAACUUAUUGCUAUUCCAUUGAAAACAUGCAAUUCCCGGAAGCACUGUAGUUUGUUGUGUCUCUUCAAAGGAGUCUCCUAGGAGAAAUCAAAUGAUACUUCAGCUACGCAAUUCUGAUGUGUGCAUGUUGGCGAACCAUUAAGGAUUCACCAUCACACCAUAUCUGAUCCUGUAAAGGGUAGCUGGAUGAGAUUUAAGAUGCCAUUUUAGACCCGAGGACUAAAGUGCAACUCAUGAUGCUGCUUGUCUCACAGAACCAUGAAACGAGUUCAUUCAAUCCAUUACCUGCACACUCAGCAGC
rnacentral:lncRNA from 1 species